UAAUAGUUUUCAUACAAAACUUUUACACUUCCAUAUGUUUGUUAGUUGAGUGCGAACCAGAAUAAUGUGGAAUAAGACAGUUGCAAUAAUGAAGUGUAUUAGGGUGUUACAAAGCAUAUUAAGUAACUUAUCUUAUCACUUAGUUACUUAAACGGGUCUGUUUACAACUUUACAUUGCACAAAUGCUGUGUAUCAAGUUUAAUGCACUACUUCAAGUCAUGACUUGAUUCUAGAAGUCGUCUUCCAAUUCCAGAAUUUUAUGAUUAUCACUGUAUCUGAAUGGGUUUGUCGAUGUGGUUAUAAUUGGUCCGGUAUUUGAAGGAUUCUGAACAGUAUAUUUUAAACUACUAUUCAGACUUUUGCCCUUUCUUUACAAGAAAACGUCUCACAAAUUUCUGAAAGAAAUACGAGCAAGAAAAUGGCAGAAAAUUGUCUAAUAUCAAUCAUCAUUGUUCCUCCGAUUAAAGGGCAUUAUUGUCUUUACUUAAAAUCACAUUGCUGUCCCUUCUAAGAUAUUAAAUUUUGAAUUUACUGUCCCCUUCACGUAUUCCUGAAGCGUUCUCAUUUUUUGUUAUUUACUGUUAAACUAAUUCGGAAUCAUCGAGCUUAUUUAAUAUUUAUUGCAUUAUUAUUUUAAGUGCUUUCCUAUUUAAAGUGUAUAAUUUACAAUAAGGAGUGCACUCCCUUAAUCUACAUUUCUUUAAGUGAGUGCACUCCCUUAAUCUACAUUUCUUUAAGGGAGUGCACUCCCUUAAUCUCUCAAGUGUAAACGUAAUAUAUUAAGUGACCCACUAAAUGUUGCCCUUUUUACACCUCAUUCUGAUCAUCUCGAUAAACAAUGAGGAAGAUAUCAUUUUGCUCUUUUUUGCAAAAACAAGAUUUUUUUCUUAUUUGUAAAAAUGAAUAUCUCCAUCAUUUUUUCUUGAUAAUAGGUAUCGUUGUGAGUAGGGCAUAAGGGUAAUUUAAAAUUGCGUUGAUAGUCUCGAUGAGUUAUAGUAGCGCUUAUUUGAUCAGUUAGU